AAUAUCCUAGUCUUCCUAUAUGCCUGCACAGGUGCACACAAAGCCUGGAAGUCCUGGAAAUAGAAUUCCACUAACCUGUGCUCUCUGGGGACUGCACAAACUGCAGAGUCCCUGAAGGGAAGCUCACAAUUCCAG